UACGAAGGGGGCUAGCGUUGCUCGGAAUCACUGGGCGUAAAGCGCACGUAGGCGGAUUGUUAAGUCAGGGGUGAAAUCCUGGAGCUCAACUCCAGAACUGCCUUUGAUACUGGCGAUCUCGAGUCCGGGAGAGGUGAGUGGAACUGCGAGUGUAGAGGUGAAAUUCGUAGAUAUUCGCAAGAACACCAGUGGCGAAGGCGGCUCACUGGCCCGGUACUGACGCUGAGGUGCGAAAGCGUGAGGAGCAAACAGG
rnacentral:rRNA from 1 species